rnacentral:rRNA from 1 species
CUAUACAUGCAGUCGAACGCGUUGGCCCAAUUGAUUGAUGGUGCUUGCACCUGAUUGAUUUUGGUCGCCAACGAGUGGCGGACGGGUGAGUAACACGUAGGUAACCUGCCCAGAAGCGGGGGACAACAUUUGGAAACAGAUGCUAAUACCGCAUAACAACGUUGUUCGCAUGAACAACGCUUAAAAGAUGGCUUCUCGCUAUCACUUCUGGAUGGACCUGCGGUGCAUUAGCUUGUUGGUGGGGUAACGGCCUACCAAGGCGAUGAUGCAUAGCCGAGUUGAGAGACUGAUCGGCCACAAUGGGACUGAGACACGGCCCAUACUCCUACGGGAGGCAGCAGUAGGGAAUCUUCCACAAUGGGCGCAAGCCUGAUGGAGCAACACCGCGUGAGUGAAGAAGGGUUUCGGCUCGUAAAGCUCUGUUGUUAAAGAAGAACACGUAUGAGAGUAACUGUUCAUACGUUGACGGUAUUUAACCAGAAAGUCACGGCUAACUACGUGCCAGCAGCCGCGGUAAUACGUAGGUGGCAAGCGUUAUCCGGAUUUAUUGGGCGUAAAGAGAGUGCAGGCGGUUUUCUAAGUCUGAUGUGAAAGCCUUCGGCUUAACCGGAGAAGUGCAUCGGAAACUGGAUAACUUGAGUGCAGAAGAGGGUAGUGGAACUCCAUGUGUAGCGGUGGAAUGCGUAGAUAUAUGGAAGAACACCAGUGGCGAAGGCGGCUACCUGGUCUGCAACUGACGCUGAGACUCGAAAGCAUGGGUAGCGAACAGGAUUAGAUACCCUGGUAGUCCAUGCCGUAAACGAUGAGUGCUAGGUGUUGGAGGGUUUCCGCCCUUCAGUGCCGGAGCUAACGCAUUAAGCACUCCGCCUGGGGAGUACGACCGCAAGGUUGAAACUCAAAGGAAUUGACGGGGGCCCGCACAAGCGGUGGAGCAUGUGGUUUAAUUCGAAGCUACGCGAAGAACCUUACCAGGUCUUGACAUCUUGCGCCAACCCUAGAGAUAGGGCGUUUCCUUCGGGACGCAAUGACAGUGUGCAUGUCGUCGUCAGCUCGUGUCGUGAGAUGUGGGUAGUCCGCACGAGCGCACCCUGUACUAGUGCAGCAUAGUGGCACUCUAGUGAACUGCGUGACACGAGGAGUGGGACGACGUCAGAAUCAUCAUGCCC